rnacentral:rRNA from 1 species
AGCCACCUUCGGGUGGUGGAAAGUGGCAGACGGGUGAGUAACGCGUGGGAACGUGCCUUUCGGUUCGGGAUAACCCAGGGAAACUUGGGCUAAUACCGGAUACGCCCUUCGGGGGAAAGAUUCAUUGCCGAAAGAUCGGCCCACGUCGGAUUAGCUAGUUGGUGGGGUAAAAGCCUACCAAGGCGACGAUCCGUAGCUGGUCUGAGAGGAUGAUCAGCCACACUGGGACUGAGACACGGCCCAGACUCCUACGGGAGGCAGCAGUGGGGAAUAUUGCACAAUGGGCGAAAGCCUGAUGCAGCCAUGCCGCGUGGGUGAAGAAGGCCUUAGGG